rnacentral:tRNA from 1 species
GGUUUCGUAGUGUAGUGGUUAUCACGUUCGCUUUACACGCGAAAGGUCCCCGGUUCGGUCCCGGGCGGAACCA